rnacentral:lncRNA from 10 species
CAGAGAGAAGGUUAAGAGCAACAAGAUGGGAGGCAGCUGCAUGGAACCUGUCCCACUGAGGAAGUAAAACAGGCUUGUCCAUUUUAAUGAGAAGCUUAUGUGGCAUGGAACUGAGUUCACCCCCAACCAGCAGCUGGUGAGGAAUGGAGCUCUUCGUUCAAUGACUCAUAAUGAGCUUUGAGACAACCAAAGCCCCCUAGCUAACCUGUGCCUGGAUUCCUGGCCCACAAAGACAGUGAGAGAGGGACCCAACUCAGCCCAUGAAGCCACUGAAAUACAGGAAAGAGCAUCUUCAUUGAAGCCACUGGAGCAUGGGAAAGAGCACCACCAGCUCCCUGCUCGCUAGCUGUGAACCUCAGGAUGGAAUAGAAGAUGGAUAAAAAGCUUCUACUGCAGCCUGGGCCCAGUUCACUUUCUCUCUUGGCUCCAAUCCUGGUGGACACAGUAGGGGCUCCUCAAAAGCUCCACCCAUCACCUCCUUGAAUCACUGCAUCAUCUACUUCACACUGGGGCACAGACAAUUGGAUGGCUUCUUUGAUCUCUGUCUAGCACUUGAUCCUAUUCAAAAGGAGUUUGGAAGGAGUCAUGGAAGUAAACAGCCAAGUGGAAAAACACAAGCUAAAAUAGGAAAAGAGGCCAUUUAUGCAUCACUUUCAAACACAAAGUACUUGAUAGAGAAAAAAAAAUUCUCUGAACAGUGGUCAGACUCUCCAAAUAGACAAGCUGAUGCCAAAUAAAAGGAGUGAUUGUGAACGGACCUGGCAGCACGUUCUUCAGGAAAUGGCCGGGUGUGUGUAUCCUUGCUGAUUACAUGUAUAAUAGCUCCACAAGCAAUGCUGUCUAUCAAGAAAGGCUGCAUCUCAGAGUCGUGUUUUCAAAAGGAAAGAGAAUGAGCACUCAGCUGAGCCUGUCUGGAAAGAGGCAAAGCGGCUCUAGGAGAGGGGAAGGAGUUGGGAGUUCUUACAUGCUGGCGACAGCCAAGCCGCAAGAGAUGAGCAGGGCACAGAGCACACGUUCAAAGGAAAAUCCAGUGUUGACUUUUACCUCUACAGGAUGUUUGAAAAAGGAUUCAGGAAAAUCAAAACUCAAAAGCAUAGAUCAGCCUGUGGAAAGUCCAGCAUGUCUUUCCACUUUAUAGUGAACUCUCUGGAACAAAAAGUGACAUUCAGAUUUCAAGUCACAGCUAGGAUAUCUGAGCCUCAUGGGUAAUGGGAACAUGUCCGGACAACAUUGGGAAAUGAGUGGGCGCUGCCCUGCAAGAACCGAAUGGGAUACAAUGCUGGAACACACUUGCCACAAUGCCUAGCAGUAAGUUCUAUGAAAACAUUAUCAUUCCCAACAUUAAUACUAAUCAUUAUAACAAACAUCUAAAUUUUAAAAGGCCCUUCUACCUUUGUCACCCUGUAAAUGACAUGGAUAAAGUCAUAGUUUAUGUGGCUGUGACACCACAAAGACCCAGGGCUGAUUUACCUGGCAAUACCCCCUUUCUCUACGGAAGCUGUGGUUCAAAGGGACCAUAGCUAGAAGCUACUCUGCAAGGGAGGCUAUGAGCUUAGCUCUUAGAGCCCAACUGGGAAAGAAUAUUGUACAAUAACGUCUACAAAAUUACUACUUUUCAGCCUGGAAUCACGUUUGUGAUCUUCUUUGGAACUUAUCAAUGCAAAGCUUCAUAAUAACGGAAUGUUUUCCUAUUGUUGCUUGGAUUGCCUUAAUCUCUUACCAUAACUUUUUCAUCCCCCAACAUUUAAAGUUUUUGUAUACUAAAAAGUAAUAGCUAUUUAUUUAAUUUAAAAUAUUUUACCAGCUUUGAAGUUACAGUGUGUGGAUAUCUAAGAUAUCAAUCUAAGCUCUAAUCUAUACAGGCAGAAGUGCUGGUGCUUGUGAAAGCAGGACCUGGAAAUAGACUGGGUUCAAGUCCUAAGUCAACCCCCACUAGCUCAGGUCAGAUAAGUUGAUUAAUCACUCCAUGCUUCAGUUUUCUCAUCUGUAUAAUGGGAAAAAUGAGAGUGCUUCACUCAUGGGAGAAUUGAAGGAGUUCUUAAUAAUUAUCAAGCUCUAAAAACAGACGAGGCAGAAGCUAAAAGAUUUUAAUGAACUUCACAUUUUUACAG